CAGACUCAAGCGGAACCUUGCAACCUUACAGUUAACUAGUCCAACGCUCUAACCACCUGCCUCUCAUUGCACUCCACGAGGAGCCUGCCUGUUACGCGAAUGCAGUAGAAGCCAAGGAGCAUCUGAGGGGGAAUGCCGUGAGGAGGAAAUUGCAGACUAAACAUUGGGAGGACUUCAACAACGGUGCACCAGCAUCAAGCUGCACAUGCUAGUCACGGAGUAUAUCCCUGCUACUAUUUUGGACCUGAGCCCUAGGACCAUGCCCCAGGACUACCUGACAUGAUGACUCCUUGCUGUCCCCAGUCCACCUGGCCAUGCUGCUGCUCCAGUUUCAACUGACCUGAGCCCUAGGACCAUGCCCCAGGACUACCUGACAUGAUGACUCCUUGCUGUCCCCAGUCCACCUGGCCAUGCUGCUGCUCCAGUUUCAACUGUUCUGCCUUACUAUUAUUCGACCAUGCUGGUCAUUUAUGAACAUUUGAACAUCUUGGCCAUGUUCUGUUAUAAUCUCCACCCGGCACAGCCAGAAGAGGACGGGCCACCCCACAUAUGCUCUCUAAUUCUCUCUUUCUUUCUCUCUCUCGGAGGACCUGAGCCCUAGGACCGUGCCCCAGGACUACCUGACAUGAUGACUCCUUGCUGUCCCCGGUCCACUUGACUGUGCUGCUGCUCCAGUUUCAACUGUUCUGCCUUGUUAUUAUUCGACCAUGCUGGUCAUUUAUGAACAUUUGAACAUCUUGGCCAUGUUCUGUUAUAAUCUCCACCCGGCACAGCCAGAAGAGGACUGGCCACCCCACAUAGCCUGGUUCCUCUCUAGGUUUCUUCCUAGGUUUUGGCCUUUCUAGGGAGUUUUUCCUAGCCACCGUGCUUCUACACCUGCAUUGCUUGCUGUUUGGGGUUUUAGGCUGGGUUUCUGUACAGCACUUUGAGAUAUCAGCUGAUGUACGAAGGGCUAUAUAAAUAAAUUUGAUUUGAUUUGAUUUGAUUUUAUGUACUCUUGAUAAGUGCGUGAAUAGGGCCAUUUUCCUAUUCCUGCUAAAUAUUUGAAAUGUAAUGUACUUCUGGGUGUCAGGGAAGUGUAUGGGAGUAAAAAUUAGAUAGAUUCUUCAGGAAUGUAGUGGAGUAAAAGUAAAAGUUGUCAAAAAUACAAAGAGUAAAUUAAAGUACAGAUUCCCCCAAAAUCUACUUAAGUAGUGCUUCAAAGUAUUUUUACUUAGUUACUACCACAGUAACUAGCAAAGGGAAGUUAGACUUUUCCACUCAUGGCAAAAGCUUUUUGUUCAAAAUGCAACACAGCCUAUAACAGUGACUGCUAGCAAAUCACCUAAAGACAGUAGUUGCUUUUGUCUUUGCGUCCUGUUUUCUACGGUGUAACACUUGUUCUGCCAAUAUUUGAAGAGCAGGGCCUGUAUUCAUAAAUCCUCUCAGAGUAGUAGUGCAGAUCUACAGUAGUAGUGCAGAUCUAAAAUGUUACACAUUUUGAUUUUGAGGGCAAAACUCCUACAUCAACACUCCUACUCUGAGAUAUUUUGUGAAUAUUAUCAAAUUAUCCUCAUGUGUGAUAAAAGAAGAGGCCUUGAAAGGUUUAAACCUUGAAACAGACGUUGGACAGCGAUGAUGAACCAAUUUUUCCUUUGCAAACACAAAUACCUCUAACCAAAUGUGUGGCAUGUAUAGCACAAGUCAAUCUCAAAACAAAUAGUGCUAUCUGAGAGCUUAUUUGAUUCAUUUAAA